AUCAGAGUAUGUUCUCGUAACAGUAACAACACAGAUAUUUCGCCUGAAAUACCUCAGCUAGAGGGUCGGCGUAGCAGUGACACAAUCUGGUGUGACUGCGGAUCCUGCCAGAUAAUGGCUAGAGACUAUGAGUGUGUGUGUCGUAGAGAGAUGGUGGCAAUACAGCACAAAAUCCCAGCGGAUGGCGAUGUAUCGGACGUGUCGUAAUUCCUUGUGAAGGACUUCCUGGCAGAAGAGGUUACUCGACCAGUCAGCAGCAUAGCAUACAGGCUGGCUGCUUAUCGCCAGUUCACUGUAGAGGCACAAGGGAGAACUGGACGAUGUGUCAUCCCUGCGUGUGUCGUCUCAUCCAUAAGGCACGCAUACCCAGAAGCAAUUGGCAUUUACGUAAGGCUCGGGAGGCGAAGGUUGAGUCAUGCGUCCUCCCAAACCACGGAUUUCGGGAGGCGAAGGUUGAGUCAUGCGUCCCCCGAAACAUGACCCGCCAAACCACGCAUCUUAGCACCCGCCUCCUUAACACGGAAGCCAGUCUCACAAAUGUGUCAGAGGGAACACUGUUCACCCCAGGUCAGACUGCAGGCGCCCGGCCCACCACAAGGAGUUGCAAGAGCGCGAUGAGCCAAGUAAAUCCUCCCCGGCCAAACCUACCCCUAUCCCUGAUGAUGCUGGGCCAAUUUCGCACAGCCCUGUGGGGCUUCCAAACACGGACGGUUGUGAUACAGCCUGGGAUCGAUACCGGUUCUGUAGUGAUGCCUUUAGUACUGCAAUGCAGUGCAUUAGGCCACUGUGCCACUCAGGAGGCCCCUAGAAUUUUUCUUGUUUAUAUUUGUUAGAUAUGUUUUAUCUAGGGAUGUAAGUUGUUGAUUGCUGAUAAUUUUGUAUAAUGACACAAAAAUAAAUCGAAAUCUAAAAUAAAUAAAUACAUUUACAAGUGGCUACACAUAUGGUGCGUGACUAGCAGUGUGCGGAUGUAGUAGUGACAUAGAAAUUAGUUACAAAAUAAGGGCAAAAUCGGAAGUAAAC
ensembl:lncRNA